rnacentral:misc_RNA from 1 species
ACCAAUCCCUUCAACCUCACGAGCAUAUCUUAGGGCUCUCAACCCAGAAGCUGACAGUGCCUCAAGAACUCUUGGAGGCUCCAGCUCCCCUCGAACUUUACGCUCUGUGGUCUUCAUUGGUUCUUCUGAUAUAUUACAAGGUUCAUCCUCUGUUAUCUCUUCUGGCGCUUCACAUUCUCCAUUUAAUAUUUCAUUAUCCACAGCAGGCUCGUUAGAUACCUCUUCUGCAGCAGAUCCUACAGCAUCUUUGUGAGAUAUCUUUUCUUCACAUUCUCCAUUUGAUUUUUCACUAUCAACAGCAGGCUUAUCAGAUACUUCUUCAACAGCAGAUCCAGAAGCAUCUUUAUCAGAUACCUUUUGUACAGAUUUUGUUCUUCUGAACAACCUUGCUUCAUG